GGAAAAGACGUAUGGUUUAAUCAAGUUCUUAGAACAUUUUUCAUUCCCCAAAAAUGUUAAGAACCACUCUACUAGAAGAUUUGAUGUUCAUUUUUCCCUCUUUAACUUUCUGUUUUUGAAAUGUAUUCAUUGUCAGUUGAAGACCCAGUUGAGAAUCAGACUGGAAGUGGAAGAUUCCAAGAAACCCGUUGAUGGAAGGAGCCUAGUCCUCUGUGUUACUGUUUGGAGGGAUGCUGCCCAAAUGCACUGGACUUUGCAUUAGCAAGAAAUACAUGUUUGUGUGAAGUCACUGAGAUGUCAGGGUUUUCAUGUUACCACAGGGCAUAGUCUAUUCUACCCUAACAUGGUGGUCAGUUACAGGAAUUUUAUUAUUGUUGUUGUUGUUGUUGUUGAAUUUGAAUAAGGGGCAAAAGAAAACUAAAAACAUAUAUACCCAAAGUUUAUGAUAAUGUACAUAGUGAUGAUGGGCUAUAGACAAAAAAGAAAGGUUUAUCAUGGGCAAGGUUUGGGGUUUUGUUGAAUGAAAUGUUCAAGAGCACCUGAGUAUGUGAUAAUUUGGGAGAAAGGGAAAUGUUCCUACUGAAUUUGAAUUAGACUCUUUAAUUGUUCUUUAAGUGUCAGAGGCCAAAUUAGAAUUUCUAUUUAAUUUUGACCGAUAGACUAAUAUUCUUUGCAAAUAAUCCCAUGCAUAGAAUGAACCAUGUAAGAUUCCAGCUUACCCAUAUUGAAGGUGUUUGUCUAUGUGUCUUCAAUGUAUUACUUUUGUGAUUAAGAAAAAAAAAUAGAUAUUUUCAAUGGCA
rnacentral:lncRNA from 1 species